GGCUGUUCUCAGGUGACACACCCCAGAAUUGGGCUCCCUCCUCUCUGGUUCCAGGGUACAUCAUCCAAGAACAGCA
rfam:Myotis brandtii contig224547, whole genome shotgun sequence.